AACUGUUGGUUCUUAGCUGUAGUUUGAGUAGAAGAUUCGGAAACUUAUUUGAAUUUAGUACAAUGUUUGAAACUGUUGGUUCUUGCUGUAGUUUGAGUAGAAGAUUCGGAAACUUUUAAUUGUGUAUACGAGUACAGAUUAUAAUUUUAGAGCAGCAAUGUGUGACUAUUUUAAGACUUGGCAAAACGUUUUGGUACAAUGGGUCAAUUGUCUAGCACUCGAAGAGAAACCAAUUCAGCAAGUUACGGAAUUAGGUGAUUGCAGAUUUUUCCACAGUCUUUUGAGUUUCAUAUCUCACAGGGCUAAGCAUGGCAUCAACACAGAUCAGGCAGAGGAGGCUAUUACAAGCUUUUUAAAAUGUGAAUACCCAAAUUAUUGCUUAGAAACAGAGUCUCGUGAAGUUGAAGAAAUUGAAAUUACAUACAUUACAUCUUUAUUACUGUUGCACUGUGUUCUAAAGAGUGAGAAUAAAAGGAUAAUGGAUCAUAUGUAUAGUCUGGACCAUGAGACACAAGUAUAUAUUAAAAACUUCUUUGAAAUCAUGUUGCAGUAUGAUGGAAAUGUAACAAGAAGUGCUCUGAAGCAUGCUAUCAAUGAAUAUGCUAGCAGUAUGUCUCCAAAAUCUGCAGAGAAAGGACACCGUUUUUCAGAAUCUCCACUCAUUGGUUUCAGCACACCUAGACGUCCCCCCAUCAGAGAUGUUGUCGAGUCUCCCUUAGCUCAGAAACUUAAACAACUCUCAGAGCAAAGAGCUGUAAUAAAGAGGCUAAAUAAUGAGUUGGAGGUUGAGCAGUUGGAGAAAGUUGAGCUGCAAGAGGAGCUGCGCCAGCAACGUGAAAAAAAUAAGAAAUUGACUAAACAGCUAAUUGAUAAACGUGAUGAGAUCAAGAAACUGCGAGAAGAAUGGUUAUUUAGUGAUUCUGAAUCACAUGAAAAGGCUGGGUGCAGUAAAUCUUGCCAAGAGACCUUGCUAAAGAAUCAGAUAAGAAGUUUGGAGUCAUAUAUCUCGUCUGUUCACGGUGACAUGGAUUCUCUGCGCAGUGAACGAGAUUUGUUACAACAAAGGAUGUAUAAAGCAGAGCACCAGUAUAAUGUGUUGCAUAAAAAGUCACAAGAGUAUGAAGAACAAUGUGAGAAGCUGCAGCAAGAUGUUAUAGAGAAAGAAAUUGAGUUGGCCCAGGUGAAAGAGCUGUGCUCGGAGCUCCAAAGCCAUGUCCAGGAACUGAAACAAAUUCGUGACACAAGUGUAGAAGAAGACAUUACAAAUCCAGUAUGCAAGAGCCCAGAAAAUCUAGGUCAGGCAGUAGUAGACCUGCAGCUACGUGAAAAAGAAGAAGAAAAUAAAGCAAUCUCAGAACAACUUAAGAGAAUGAUCAUGAAAGGAGAAAAGAUGACAAAGCACAUCCAUGACCUUGAACUUUCUUUAGAAGCUGCAAAUCAAGAAGCAGAAUCUCUAAAGAUGUCAAAUUUUGAAUUGGAAAGAAAGGUCAGUAAAAUAGCAGAUUUACAGCAUGAACUGGAGGAAUCUGAAAGGAAACUGAAUUCUACUUCUGUUGAGCUUGAUCACCUUUCUCAAGAGCAUAUUCUGCAUGAAAAAGAACUUGCUGACUUGCAGGACCUCCUUGCUUGCAGAGAUAAGGAACUUUCAGAUUUGCAUGAAGCGGCUACAUCACUUACUUCAGAUCUUGCUAAGCUUCAGGACCAAUUUCUGGAAACUCAGAAGGUUCUAACUGCAAAGAUGGAACUUGUGACUAUGUUAGAAUGUGAAACCCGUGAAACCCAGAAACAAUUGAAAUGUACAUCUGAAGAAGUUGCAGCCAUAAAAUUGGAGAAUGUAGAAAUACAAGGGAAUCUGGAUUGUAUAGCACAGCAGCUAGAAGAAAAUGUGAAACUGGUUGAAGGAAUUCUGGUAUCAGGUGAUUAUACUCCAGAAGAUGCUGACCAGUUGAAAGGAGAUGGAACAGAAGGAUUUUUAUCAACUUUGAGUGUUGAUGUGAAAGCUAAAGUCAGAAGAUUAAAUUUAUUACUCGCUGAACUGGAUGCUAAGAAUCUCAAGUCACUUUAUGAGAAGUCUAAUUUGGAGUCAGCUUGUAAGCAAUUGAAUGACAGUAUUAUAAAACUUCGUGAGGAAAUUUCUGAGCUAGAAGACAAGGAAAGAAAUCAUCUUCAAGAAAGGAGCGUGCUGAAGGAAUGUCUGCAACGGGCCGAUGAAAAUAUUUCAGUUUUGCAAACAAAGGUUUCAGAAUAUUCUCUUAAGAUUGAGGAUUUGAACUCUCUGUUAGAGGAUAAAAGGGCUGCAGUUGAGCAACUUGAGAGGAUAAAACAGAGCCUCUCUGAUAAAAGUGAAAAACUUGAAAAACUAAACAAAGAAAAGGCAGAAAAGCUACAAAAAAUUGAAACUGAACUGUCAGAAAUUAUGCAUGAUAAGCUUCUGUUACAAGGUCUGUAUCAGAAAACAAAAGAAUUUGCUGAAGAACAAACUAAGACUGUGAACAUGCUAAAUUGUAAGGUUGCCAAAUUUGAGACUGAAAUUCAAGGCAUGGUGCGGGAAAGGGAUUGCUGUAACAAUAACCUACAGAAUAUAAUUUGUAAACUACAAGAAUUUCAAGCAAGUAAAGACAGUUUUGAACAAAUCUAUGGUUAUGAAGUGCAAGAAAAUGAACCCACUGAGAAAUUAAAUUGUCUUCUUAAUAGAUUGAAAGACAAAUUUAAUGAAUUAGAGGACAGAGCUACAUUGACAGAUGAAGAACUUGAAUCCCUGAAAAGGAAACUUGCAGAAAUGAUCAAGAACAGAGACACUCUGAAAUUGCAGUAUGACACAGAAAGUCAGGAGAAGGCUGAACAAAUUGAGUUACUCAACCAGCACAUGAAAAAUUUAGAGAUAACUACUGCAAAACUUGAGGAAGAGAAGAAGGUCAUUUUUGGAGAACUGGAAUGUGUAAAAUUAAAAUUUUCAGAAACAGUAAUUGGAAAUAAUGUCCAAAUUCAGAAAUUGAAUGAAAGUGUUUUGGAGAAGGAAGUAUACAUAAGCAGUUUGCAAACUACAGUGGAAAAUGAAGUAAUGAGAUUGCAACAUGAAAAAGAGGCCAUUAAUAAUACAUUAGAAAUUGAAAAAACUAAAUUACUUGAAGUGACUCUAGAUAGAGAUGAAAUAAAAAUGUUAUAUGAGAAGCAAAAUGAAGAAUAUAAAAUAGAAUUUGCAAAUCUGUCAGAUAAACUAACCUCCUUAGCAAGUGAAAUUGAAGCAAUUGAACAAGGUAAAAUGGCUGCACAGAAUGAACUCCAAUGUAAAACGAAUGAAUGGAGUGACAUUAAAAGAAGUUAUGAGACUUUGUUAGAAGAGAUGAAACGCCUGGAAACUACAAAUGGAAAACAACUUGAACAGCUGAAGAUCUCAAUGGAAAGGAUCGAAGACCUAGCAAGAGAAAAGAAGGUAGUUUCUGAAGAACUCGACACUGCUAGAUCUGAACUUUCAAAAGAAAAGCAUUGUAAAGAAUUGUUAUCUGAAGAGCUUACUGACAAGAACAGUAAUCUGAUUUCUGUGGUACAAGAUUUGGACAAAUUGCGUGGUGUGGUCAGGAUCUUAGAAGAAGAAAGAAAUCAGCUGCAGAGUACUGUACAGCAUUUAACAUCUGAGCUCAUGGCUGUUGAAACUAGUAAAGAUCAACUUAUGCAGCAAUAUAACACUUUGGAAACAGAAAGAGAGAACAUUCUUGCUAUAAGAAUGGAAUUAGAAAUGAAAGUUGAUAAUUUAGAAAAAGAAAUGUUUUCCAUCAAUAAUGAGCUAUGUGCUGCCAGGUCUUCUCUACUUUUAUACAAAGAGCAGCAAGAAAAACUUAUUGUUCAUCAUAAUAAGGAAAUUGAAGAAAAAGAAGAGACUAUAAUGCAGUUAAUGGAGAAAAUCAAUGUGUUACAAGAUGAGAUUAAUUCUCUGCAAGGUGAGAGGAAGGAUUUACAUACUCAGUGCCAUGAAGCAAAGUUAGAAGUCACUGAAUUAAAAACAUGCAAAGAACACCUAAUACAAUUGUGUAAUGAGGUAAAAGUUGAAAAUGAAGCACUAGAACUUACAAAAAUAUCACUAGAUAAGAAAAUUGAUGAUUUGCUUCAUGAAAUGAACAGUAUUAUUGAAGAACAGGAAAGUGUUAGAGCGUCUAUGCUGGCAUUACAAGAAAGUAAGGCAUCACUUUUGGAACAACAUUCCAAAGAACUGCAAGAAAGAGAACAGAAAAUUGAUAAGCUUUUGACAGACAAAGCUGCUAUACAAAACAUACUAGACCAGACAACUGAAGAAAGGGACAUAUUAAAUAAGAAUUUGCAAUUGACCAAAUCUGAAUUAUUGGAAAUUAAAAGAAAUCAAGAUGAACUUUUGCAAGUUCACACAAAACAAAUACAGAAGACUGAAGAAAACAUCAUGAUUGCUCAUAGAAAUGCUGUUGAAGUGAAGACAGUUCUAUUGAAAAAAGUAAAGGAAGUUGAAGAUGAAAGAGACAUGGAAAGGAAGUCACAUGCUAAGAUGGAACAGCUUUUGAAUGAAGAAAAGGAAAAUGUAGAAUUGAUAUUAACACAGAUGAAUCAGUUGAUGUCUGAAAAAAGGACAGUGUCUCAGUUAUGCAGUGAUAUCAAGGAUAAUGUCUCUAGUCUUUGCAUGGCUGUUGCAGCUUACCAAGAUCAGAACAUAAAUGGAAAGGAAGAAGGUCAGAAAUGUGACAUACAGAAAGUAGUAAUUAGUACGUCUGAACAUUUGGAUGGCAUGAAAGAAGAGAGUGAAGGCUGUGAAACAGAUCCCUUGCAUGUAGUAUGUGAGUCCAGAAAGAACUUGUCUGCAAAGCCAUGGAACUUAGAUCUUGUUAAAGGAUGCACUGAUAAGCUGACUUCCAAUGGGAAUGAAACUGCAAAUGAAAGCACAUUUUUAGAAUAUUCAUCUGAGUUACUGAACAAUCAGAAUAUAUGCAUGGAGGUACAGGCAUUUCCCCCAGAAGCUAAAUCAACAGCCAUGGAGAUCAAAGAGUCAGAGCUGCAGAUAAAUCAUGAGGAGGACGUUUAUGCAGAUUUCUCUGAAGUAGUUAACAAGCUAAAAGAUCUAAAUGCUGAAUUUAUUUCUGCUAGAGGAGAAAUUAUGGGAAUCCUUAAAUCAAACAAUAACCUCAAAAACGAACUGUCAGUUAUUGAAAAUAGAUACAAUGAUGUAGCACAGAAAUAUGCAGAUUUAACAUGUACAAUUGGAAUUUUAAAUUCUGAAAAUGAGAAACUGUUGAAAAAUAUUGAGGAGCUGGGAAAUCUGAAAUCCUUAUUGGAAAUAAAUGAAAGGACCUUGACCAUUGAACACAGUUCAAAGGUUGAGCUCAAGGCUGAAAAGGAUGCUCUUGAGGAGGCAUAUGGAGCACUGAAAGAUGAUUUUCUGAAACUGAACAAAGGCAAUGAGUCCCUCAAUGUAACUAUGAAUGCCAUGAAUGAUCAGAUGUCAAAUUUACUUAAACAGAAUUCUGAACUAAAUGAAAAGUUACAGAAAUAUGAGAUGUCACACCAGAAAUAUGAGGAAGAAUGUCAGAAACUAGUAAGAAUAAGAGAAGAAAUUGAGUUAGAAUUGAAUAAAAUUCUCAAUUCUGAAACGACCUUGAAGCAAAAUAUGUCAGAGUUUCAGAGAAGCUUGAAAGAUAUAAAUUAUAAAUUUGAAAACUUGGUUGUAAGUACUGCAAUUGGUGGCAGUGAACUCAGAGUUAUUGAUUGCCAGAGAACUGAGUUGGAGGAACUUUUAAUGCUUAUGAAUGAUGAGUGUGACGAUAUAUCGCACAACAUUCUUAACUGUACGUAUGACAUGCUUAUACAGACAGAACAGAGUAUAGAAAACCAGUGUUUCUUGUUGGGCAUUUCUGUUCCCUUGAGAACUGAAGAACCAGCAGAAACACUUUUGAAUUUGAACAGAAGAAGUGAAUCUGAUGUCAUUGGAGAUACUGUAACAGAAAAAAAGAAAACUUGGCAGCAUCAAGAACUUCAUGACCUUCAGACACAAAUUAGCACUUUGAUUUCUGGAAUAAAGAUCGCCAUGAAGAAAUGUACAUCUGUAGAUGCUCAGUGUGAGCAAAUUAUGAAAACAUGUAACACAAAGACUGGAAAUGAGCAUAUCCUCUAUGACAGAGGUGCUUUUGGAAAUGUGGGAGGUCUCAGUUUUGUAGAUAGAACAAAUCGCAUAAAGGAUAUACUAACAAAGCUGCAUGGAUCACAGAAGAACCAGGCAGAAUUAGAAAUGGUUGAAGAUGGCCGGAAUCCUGAAGACUUACUUGAAAUAGAUUCUGGGGCCAAAGGCGUUAUGUUGACAACUGAGGAGGAAGUUCAGAAAGAGCACGACAAGAAACGGUCUUCUCAGCACUGUGCUAUGCUUAAAAUGAGACUGAUUCUAGAACAAAAUCUUGACCAGAAAACCAAAGAAGUUGAACACUUGAACAAACAGAACAAAUCUCUUCAGGAUAUGCUUCAGGAAGAACAAAAUUCAAGAGCAGAAAUGGAGAAAAAUUUCAAUGAACUAAGAAGUUUGCAUACAGCUCUUUCUAAUGAUAAAGAGGUUGUGUGUAAAUUGAAAGCAGUGGAGGAAGAAAAGUGUUUGCAGCUGCAGUUAGAAUUACAGAAAAAUUCUGAUAUCAAACAAGCAUAUGAAGCAUUGUUGGAAGUCAACUACAAGCUUCAGUCUGAUAAUGAUGAUAUGAAAACUAAAAUGGAUGAAAAAUUUAAAGCCAUUCGACAGGAGUAUGAAAAGAAAUUGGAUAGACUAAAAGCCAAAAUGAAAGUCCUGUACGAAGAGGAAAUUCAAAAGAAAACACAAACGUCAAAGCAAGAGAAUGAACAUCUGCAAGCAGUGUGUAGACUGUACAAAGAGAAGAUUGCAAGUUAUGAAAAUGAUGUAGGCAUCAUGAAGUCACAGAUGUGGGAAAUUGGAGAUAAGCUGCUGAUGUCAGAGAGAGAAAAGAAGAGGCUGGAAGAGGAAUUAUCAAAACAACAGAUACUCUUGCGCUGUAUUGGAAAACAGGAUGAUUUCUUAGAAAGUCGUGAAAUAUCAAGCAAUAUAGAAAAGGGAAGAAAAAUUGUUGGGUCCUCCAGAGAGAUGCAUACAAUGGAUGUAAUAGAUGAGUCUAUUACAUAUGUUAGAAGGAAAAAGAGUGUGCCUAGAUCUCUGCCUUCAGGCAUGGGUGCUAUGUUUGACCCUGAAGAUGAAGAAGGUGAAGUUUUUAACACCACAAAUUUGGCGGAUCUGAAAGCUGGGCGUUGUGUACCUCAAGGUUACAAGGGGCGUGUAAGUGAGUUACAAUAUCGUAACUCAUUGUGUCCUCCACAUCUGAAAUCAUCGUAUCCAGCAGAGACCCAGUUUCAUGAUCCACGAGAAUACAGAGAUGAAGAUCUUAAGUUGGGUUGUGCUGUGGAGCUAGAUCAGUGUGAUACCUUAAGUACCAGCAUGUUACUUCCUUCAGAAAAACAACGUAAAAAGGAUCGUGGACAGACAUCCUAUAAGAAACCAGGUCCUCCAACUCCUGGUAAAAAUGGUGGUCGUCUGUUUGUACAGGGAAUGGAGGUGCUUACACCACGUGCACCACUGAGAGAGAGCAACGAUGGGGCUUGUGUUCGAAAAGUAUCAACACCAAGUCGUCUAAAAUCACUGUUCACAAACAAGAAUCGUCGAGAUGAGAAUACUCCUGUCACUCCACGUGGCCGAAGACUCAGCAAUAUUUUUCGUAGACAGGUGAAAAACCAUCAGUGAAAACUGAAUCUUCUUUGUUCAGGUGUUUGUUUUCAGGCUGCGAUGAACUGUUAACUUUAGAUGCAUAAAAGGAAAAUUAAAUAAGAGUUGAGUAUAAUGAAAACGUUUAAUUAGCCCUUUACACUUCCACAUUCUGUAUUCAGUGCCCUGUAAUUUUGUCAUUAAGUGAAAAUGAGUGUUUUCCUCUGUGUUGUGGUGAAUAUAAAAACCAUUUUGUAUAUGAAAUCAAACAUUCUUGAAGAUUGUGUGUUGGCUUAUAGCAAUGAUCCUCAAUCCUGCCUCCACUAAACUCAUGUUACACUCACUGUGGAAAAUUACUGUCAUUUUGGUAUUCCUCCAAGUAGUGUGCAUUUCAUUCCAGAAGCUUAAUUUUCAAAGAAUUUGAUUUCUGGCACUGUGCUGGUGCUGUAACAUGCCAGACAUUUGCAUGAAAUCGUUAAUUUGGAUCAGAGAUGGGCAUUUAUCUUUACCUGAAGGCCAAAUAGGUCUGUUUCUAAUUGACUGCAGGCUGUUGAGUUGUGACAAAAAUUCUGUAGUUCGGACAUUUUAUUUGUAACAAUUCAGAGAGUAUCCUAAACUAUGGUUGCUAUUCUCAGUGUUUUAAGGAACAUGUUAAAUAAAAUCUGGAGUGGCACCAUUUGAUUUUUUCAUUUGCUGCUAUAGGAGUAUUUGUAAAUAUGUGUAAGAGAUACCCCAGUGCAUGAAUUUCCUUCAGAAUCUGUUUUUUUUCCCCUAGAUUUUUGUAAUUAUACAUUUGGUUAACUGUUUAUGUGGAAUUAAAACUUAACAUACCAUAUUAUUUGCAGUGUCUAAAUAUUGCUGCAGGCCAGGCUGAACGUUUUACAGGUCAUAAUUAUUCCACCCCUUUUGCACUCUGAAUUGACUGGUCAACAGUUAAGCUUACGAAAAUUAUGACAGAAAAGAUAUGACUGGUGAACAGACAUUGGCAUUUGCAGAAGAUACAACCUGGACAAAGAAUAGGUUCUUCUGUUAUUUUGUGUAGUAGCAUAUAUGGGGUAUUGAAUAUAUGUUUGGCUUCAAGAUCUCCAAUUAUACCAUUACUGACAUAGGUUGAGAAAUAAAACAUUAUUUAAGAUUCUGUUGUUUCUGUAUCAUCUUGUAAACAGCCAAAUAUGAAGAUUUCAAGCAAAGUUACGAUGUUUUUAUCACGUACAGUUGGUAGCCAGUGAUACAGAUGUUUUUUCCAACAUAAUUUUGUCGCAUGGCAGUCAUACAGUAGAUUCUUGAAUAUCCAUAUGUAUAUUAAACAUACAACUUUUCAGAAUCCUUUGGUUAUUGAUGUAUCUUCGUGUAACAAUUGAAGUGUUGUUCCUUCUGUUUUAGUAAUAUGUAUAUAUCAGUGAUAUUUAUGUUGUAACUUUCUGCUUUAUUAUUUAAUCGCUUUUCCUGGCUUUAUAACCCAGAACAAGGGUUGCUUUCUUUCAGUGGGAAGGUAAUUAUCUCUCCAUCUAGUAACCAACUUAUUUUAAGGACUGAAUGCAGCAUGGAUAGUGCAUACUUUCAGAUUGUUGGAUAAUCUGUUGUGUUUGAUUAUCUGUGCUACUUCUUGCAUCUGUUACCAUGAAUAAGCAGGCAUUCACUGUAUUGCUGUUCUAAUUGCCAUGUACCACAUUACAUAAGCUGAAUAGUAACAUAUGAAAAAGUACAGGUGGAAGAAGCUUCUGUAAAUGUGAAAUGAGGCAAAUUAUUGUUUUAUAUAUAACUACGCAUAUGAAGCAAUGGAGGUGGCCAUUCCAUCUUUACCUGGAAUACAUGGACUGUUAGUUUCACCUUCUUGUUCUUGAUCCAUUCUUGAAAUAGACUUAGCUUGGGAACUCAGAAUUUUUUUAUAUUUCUUGGCUACGGGUGUCAUAAAAGUAAUUUCACAUUUUUUGCUGGUGGUAAUAUAACACUGAAUAUAAUAUUCAUAAAGGUUGCAGAAUUGUAAACUGUCAGGACAGCUUUUUCCAGAACACUGUGAGUCUACUUGGUAGAUAUUGUCGCGUAUCGGGCGUAUAUCGCGACAAAUAAAUUCUCGAUGUAUUCGAUGUA